GGGGACGUGUGGUUUCGACGGGGUAGGUAUGUUGCGGGAUUGCAGGUUGAGGUCGCCACAGCCCUCAUAAAACAGGUGGCAAAGAACAAAUGGCGAACCUGAAAUGGUUCUUGCUGGCUAAAAUAAGCUAGCACAUUCAGCCUAACCCAGCUCCGGCGGGGUGGGACUGG
rnacentral:tmRNA from 1 species